CCUAUACUUCCGCCCGUUGGUGCUCGCGUGGCCGUUUCCGGCCGCGCAGUUAAACGGGAACCAGGAAGGGCCGCUCCGCCACGGACGACGGCCCCGGCCUGGGCUGCCCCCGCAACGGUCAGCGAUGGAAGGCGCAUGGGCUCAGGCCAGGCGCCUUCGGCCCCUGGAACGACGUCCACUGGAAUGCCCCCGCGGCAUCCGGGAAGGGCCCGGGGAGCCCGGCAUGAACUGCCGCGCCGCCAGCCCGGAUACCGGCCGACGGGGGAGCGCGCGCC
rnacentral:ncRNA from 18 species